GACGAACGCUGGCGGCGUGCUUAACACAUGCAAGUCGAACGGAAAGGCCUCUUUCGGGGGGUACUCGAGUGGCGAACGGGUGAGUAACACGUGAGUAACCUGCCCUUGACUUUGGGAUAACUUCAGGAAACUGGGGCUAAUACCGGAUAGGAGCUCCUGCUGCAUGGUGGGGGUUGGAAAGUUUCGGCGGUUGGGGAUGGACUCGCGGCUUAUCAGCUUGUUGGUGGGGUAGUGGCUUACCAAGGCUUUGACGGGUAGCCGGCCUGAGAGGGUGACCGGCCACAUUGGGACUGCGAUACGGCCCAGACUCCUACGGGAGGCAGCAGUGGGGAAUAUUGCACAAUGGGUGGAAGCCUGAUGCAGCAACGCCGGGUGCGGGAUGACGGCCUUCGGGUUGUAAACCGCUUUCGCUCAUGACGAAGCUUUGUGUGACGGUAGUGGGUAAAGAAGCACCGGCUAACUACGUG
rnacentral:rRNA from 1 species